UACGUAGGGUCCGAGCGUUGUCCGGAAUUAUUGGGCGUAAAGAGCUCGUAGGCGGUCUGUCGCGUCGGCCGUGAAAACCUGCAGCUUAACUGUGGGCUUGCGGUCGAUACGGGCAUCACUGGAGUUCGGCAGGGGAGACUGGAAUUCCUGGUGUAGCGGUGAAAUGCGCAGAUAUCGGGAGGAACACCAGUGGCGAAGGCGGCACUCUGGGCCGGAACUGACGCUGAGGAGCGAAAGCGUGGGGAGCGAACAGG
rnacentral:rRNA from 1 species